GAUGAACGCUGGCGGCGUGCUUAACACAUGUAAGUCGAGCGAAGCACUUAAGAAUGAUUCUUCGGAUGAGCUCUUUUGUGACUGAGCGGCGGACGGGUGAGUAACGCGUGGGUAACCUGCCUCAUACAGGGGGAUAACAGUUAGAAAUGACUGCUAAUACCGCAUAAGCGCACAGUGCCGCAUGGCACCGUGUGUAAAACUCCGGUGGUAUGGGAUGGUCCCGCGUUGGAUUAGGCAGUUGGCGGGGUAACGGCCCACCAAACCGACGAUCCAUAGCCGGCCUGAGAGGGUGGACGGCCACAUUGGGACUGAGACACGGCCCAAACUCCUACGGGAGGCAGCAGUGGGGAAUAUUGCACAAUGGGGGAAACCCUGAUGCAGCGACGCCGCGUGAGUGAAGAAGUAAUUCGUUAUGUAAAGCUCUAUCAGCAGGGAAGAAAAUGACGGUACCUGACUAAGAAGCCCCGGCUAACUACGUGCCAGCCGCCGCAGUAA
rnacentral:rRNA from 1 species